AUUGAACGCUGGCGGCGUGCUUAACACAUGCAAGUCGAUCGGUAACGCGGGGGCGACCCUGGCGACGAGAGGCGGACGGGUGAGGAACGCUUGGGAAUCUGCCUAUCAGCGGGGGACAACACGGGGAAACUCGUGCUAAUACCGCAUACGCUCUACGGAGGAAAGCCGGGGACCGCAAGGCCUGGCACUGAUAGAUGAGCCCAAGCCGGAUUAGCUAGUUGGCGGGGUAACGGCCCACCAAGGCGACGAUCCGUAGCUGGUCUGAGAGGACGAUCAGCCACACUGGAACUGAGACACAGUCCAGACUCCUACGGGAGGCAGCAGUGGGGAAUAUUGGACAAUAGGGGAAACCCUGAUCCAGCGACGCCGCGUGGGUGAAGAAGGCCGCGGGUUGUAAAGCCCUUUCGGUAGGGACGAAAGCUCUCGACCUAACACGUCGGGAGGUUGACUUAACCUACAGAAGAAGCACCGGCUAACUCUGUGCCAGCCGCCGCGGUAACAC
rnacentral:rRNA from 1 species